UUACGCUUGAAUAUCUGCUUUUAAAGAUCUUCCUUUUUAUUUUUAAUUAUUUUUAUGCAUGUAUGUAUCUCGGAGGAGUUAUGACAUCAGCGCAGUUGCCCACAAUGUUCAAAACACAACAUUGGAUUCCCCUGGAACUAGAUUUGCAAGUCGUCCAAUGAAGGUUCUGGAAACUGAAUUCAGGUCGUCUCCUCAGCCCUGAAUAUCGUCUAUAAAAUCAAAACAAAACACAAACAAAAAGUGCUGAGCAUGGUGGCACACACCUUUAAUCCCAGCACUUGGAAAACAAAGGAGGGCUGAUCUCUGUGACCUCAAGAACAACCUGGUCUACAUAACUCACACAGGACGUCACAGGCCUUCUACCAGUCGCACGCGACCUGUGCAAGCCCUGAGAGGAACUUCUUCCGUGGAUUUGUGUUCCAAACUAAGGGCGAGAACAGACAUGGAACCCUCCGUGUAGUGUUGAUGUUAUGCUUUAGGAUCUUUUAAAAAAUGUUUUCCUUUAGCCCUCUUCUUGCACCUCCGUGUGUCCAUCUCCUUCAUCCCGAACUCCUAGCUUAACCUGUUCUGCCAAACAAUGCUUAAUGAUCAGAGACCCAAAUUAAUGGUACAAAUGAAAUGGGGUUGACAUAGAAGUUUUAGUGGAUACAGGAGCUGAUGUUAGUAUACUUUCCCCAAAGUCUUGGAAUCCAAAUUGUGUGCUUCAGAAGGUUUACAUACAUUUAUAGAAAUGGGUAAAUUAUCACAAAUAAGACAAAGCGUCCAGUGGAAUACCUGUGUGGGAUCAGAAAGGCAAACAGGGAAGCUGAGACCUUAUGCGGCUGACACACCCAUAAACUUAUGGGGAAGGAAUCUUUUACAAUAAUGGGAUACUAAUGUUCCUGCAAUUCCAGGAACAGCAAAUGAAGAAAAUAGGGAUGAUAUGGUAGAUCCUGGGAAAGCUAUUGAUACUGGAUAUUGAUCACAAGCUGUGCACGUUAUCCAAACACAGGAUAUCACAAGGAUUGAGUUUCCAAAAUUAUAAAAGGGGCCACUGUUGACAUACCAACAAAUGCUACAGUUAGUUUUUCUAAAAUUAACUAUUUUCCUCACUUUGGCCCCAAACAGGAAUUCUUUGCCCCAAUUUAGCAGGAAGCAAUUAAGAGUCCUUAAAUUGGGAUGAAUGGUUUUGGUCGUUUGAUGUUAGUUAUGGUUAUCUAGGAUAGUAGGUUGUUUUGUUUAAUUGAUAGAAAUUUAAGGUUUGCUUAAUUAUUGUAUAUUGAUAGAAAUUUAAGCUUGUUUUGUUUGAAUUAUUGUAUAUUGAUAGAAAUGUAAAGUUGUUUGGUUAGACUAUUGUCUGACUAUCCUGUACAUAAGCUAUUUGUUUAAGGCAUGAUGUAAAGCUCUAGUUUUAGGGUUCUUAUACUUGUUUCUAUUGUGUGUAGAUUGUUAAUGUUAGAAAAAAGAUUUUUUUUAAAAAAACAGAAAGGGGAAUAUGAAGUGGGAAUUUCUGGUUUCCUUGGAGAUUCAGUUGUGUCAUGUGAUGUUUUUCUGGAGACUGUCUUAUUAGAGGAUGUUUUGCUGAGUGGUGUUUUUCUGGAAGCUGCCUGGAAAAGGGGCAUGUAAUGUUUUCCUGGAGUAGAGGCUUGAGAGGACAUGUGAUGUCUGAAAAGGGUAUAAGUAUAACUCAACAGACAGUGGACGACGCUGCUGGUCUUCCUUGGGCUUUGCUGAUGCUGGUCUUCACUGACAAUGCUGUGGCAUUGGUUCGCCUGGCCUUCUUCACUGAUCAUCAUUUGUCAUGACUUCAUAGAGAGAAAUGCACCAAAGAAUUUCUCAUGAUAUUCUGGUAGCUUCUUGCCAAUUCUGCAGAGUCCAGACGAUUGACAGAGCCUCAAAGUUUCUUCUGGAUGGAACUGCCAUUGCUGGUUCAUGAAUGGUGUUCUGAGUGGAUCAAACUGCUGCUGCUGAUUUGUGUGAACUGAACUGCUGAUAUUCUGACAAGGAAAACUGGAAUUACCCCAAAGAACUAUUUCUAAACAGGUCCACAUCCUCCUUUGCCCUAUUAACCUUUCCUUUCUACUACCUCUGGUGGGUGGUGAGCUAUAAGGGAGGUUAAAGUGUUUAAGAACCCCUUAUUAAAGUAUGUUUUGAAAAAUCUAAGCAUUAUAUUAGUCAACACUGCCAAAAUAAAAGAGACUCUCUAUCUAGACUUA